rnacentral:tRNA from 1 species
GGGCCCGUAGUGUAGCCCAGUAACACACCAGGUCCGCAACCUGGAGUCGCGGGAGCAAAGCCCGCCGGUGUCCA